AGCGAACGCUGGCGGCAGGCCUAACACAUGCAAGUCGAACGAACCUUUCGGGGUUAGUGGCGGACGGGUGAGUAACACGUGGGAACGUGCCUUUAGGUUCGGAAUAACUCAUGGAAACUUGUGCUAAUACCGAAUGUGCCCUUCGGGGGAAAGAUUAAUCGCCUUUAGAGCGGCCCGCGUCUGAUUAGCUAGUUGGUUGAGGUAAUGGCUCACCAAGGCGACGAUCAGUAGCUGGUCUGAGAGGAUGAUCAGCCACAUUGGGACUGAGACACGGCCCAAACUCCUGCGGGAGGCAGCAGUGGGGAAUCUUGCGCAAUGGGCGAAAGCCUGACGCAGCCAUGCCGCGUGAAUGAUGAAGGUCUUAGGAUUGUAAAAUUCUUUCACCGGGGACGAUAAUGACGGUACCCGGAGAAGAAGCCCCGGCUAACUUCGUG
rnacentral:rRNA from 1 species